UGUGUGUGUGUGUGUGUGUGUGUGUGUGUGAAUUGUUGUUUGGAAUCGUUUAUUUGACAUUUUGAAAUUGUUGUAACUACAAUGAAUGCCAAAAAUGUAAAUUGUUAUGAUCCACGCUGCAGCCGUUAAUUUGUUGCCGUUUUUUUUACGUUGGCGCGCAACACUUUUGUGCUGCAGCGUUGACAGAGUGAUCGGUGUGGCGCUGUGUGGCUUGAGUGUGGCAGGACACAGUUGUGAGUUACAUUGUGGUUUUCGGGCUCUGGCGGGGUGUGGCGGAGGCUGCCCUUGUGUUUAUGUGUUCUUAUUUUAAUUAUGAUCCUUUUACAAAUCUGAUCAUAGGCAUGUGGCCGCUUUAUGGUCUUGCUGUGUGGAUGCUGCUGUACUUUUUUGUAGUAUAAGUUCUGUAGGGCGGUGCCGGUGUCCUCCAUGUACAUGUGUUUAGAGGAAAUAUGAUGAGUAUAUGUGUAGCCUGGAUGCGUUGUUUUGUGGCUGCUGUGGGGUGUGGCGGCGAUAAGGUAAGGGUGGGUGGACAAGGGUGAAGUAAACGGAUGGGGAAGGGAACAUCACUGGCGGGAGGGCAAACAAACACACUCUCCAUCCGUCGAGAAAACACUUGGUUGGAGGCGCGAGAUGAGAAAUAGAGGGACGCCUCUGAGCCACGAGAGGAGAUGUAGGAGGCGGGUCACAGCUGAGGUCACGUCAAUUGAACUUUAUCUCGAGCCUUGACAUUGAACUGCUCUUUACUCGAGCGCCAUUGUCAUAUAUUCUGACUCGUAAAAAAUCAAUCAGAACUCACAAAUUGCUUUUUCUUGGGUUUCGAUCGUUCUUUUAGCUGCGAACGGCCUCGUUUGAUCCUCCGUGGCUUUGAUAGUCACUACUGGACUAUGAGAGACACGACACACUACCACUAACACGGCCAAACGACCAAGGAGAAAGUGAGAGAAAGAAGAGAGAGUGAGAAAGACGUACACACCUUCCCGACUUCCUGCUGCUCGGAGGAGAGGCACAAACGGCCUCCCAUCUUCCCUUCUGUUCCUCCACCACCACCAUCAUCACCAUCAUCACCUCCUUCAACACCAUCUGCACCUGCUCCUUCUCCUCCUCGUCCUCGCCUCCUUCAGGACCUCCCAGCAUGCACCUCGCGUAAGCACAGCGUGAAGCUAAACAAACAGACGAACACAAGAACAGACAACACGCAACACAUUCUUGGUCCAGAGGAAGCAACACCACACUUGAUGACAGUAGAAAAUAACAGUUGAAAAAAAUACAUACACAAUAUCAAAACAGCCAUCAAAACGGCAGCCAAAAUGCCAGAACAGUAAAAAAACAACAACACGAUCAUUGUGAUUGUAAAUGUAUGUAAACACCGAGAUUCCGGUCAGUGGCAUGACACAUUUCAUGGUAGAACAGUAUAGAGAGAGACUGGGGGAGGAGGAAAUAAUAGAAAUAGAGAGAAACAGACAGACAUCAAUCAUUUCUGUCCAAGCCAAGACAACAUUGACGGUGUGACAGUUCAGGGCUUACACACACGCAAACACACACACACACACACACACACACACACACACACACACACACACACACACACACACACACACACACACACACACACACACACACACACACACACACACACACACACACACACACACACACACACACACACACACACACACACACACACACACACACACACACACACACACACACACACACACACACACACACACACACACACACACACACACACACACACACUCCUCCCUCCCCCCUGGCGCCGUUCUGGCCUUGGUUCAUCACAAGACGUUGGGUGUGUUUCUGCAACCACUUGAAUUCGGAGUUUGGCCCCAUCCCUGUCCCUUCCUUCCAACUCCCCCUCCCCGCCCCCUCCCAUUACUCGCCCCACCACUCCCACGACGCUCCAGCCCACCCUUUUCUCUAUGGCUUCAUUCAAACUUGCUUUUAUUUAUGGUAUAAUUACAUGAUUUUAAAUAUAAAUCAGUAAAUAAUUGAAAGAAAUAUAUAUCCCGUAUCCUUUGUAUCAUAUUUGCAUUUUACUCGUUUCAUUGAUAGUGUGAAUAUAAUCAAUGUUGAAAGAUCUUGAUUUGGAUAAAGAAGAUGAAAGAAAAUAUGUACUCCUUAGUUUUUGUAUUGUAUCUGUGUCUUACUUUUUACGUAGUUGUGUGGAUAUAUUCAAUGUUAGACUUUUCUCUCGUGUUCGUGAAAUAUGGAAUAUGUGCAGAAAUUUGGGUCAGACGAUGGAGCUGUAGCACCACAAAGGAGAGUAAAGGCGAGGAGCAGAGUAGGGGCGCCUUGUGCUCUGGGUUACCGGGCCGGGCAGGGGGUUAGGGAAGGGGGUGAGGCGGGGACCAGACACACGGCUCAGUGGGGCUUCCUUCCUGCACAACACUUGCCUAGAGCAGACUGAGCACUUGGCUGGCGGAGGAUCUGUGGAUGAACCGCUUAGGUGUGUGUGUGUGUGUGUGUGUGUGUGUGUGUGUGUGUGUGUGUGUGUGUGUGUGUGUGUGUGUGUGUGUGUGUGUGUGUGUGUGUGUCUGUGUGUGUGUGUGUGUCUGUGUGUGUGUGUGUGUGUCUGUGUGUGUGUGUGUGUGUGUGUGUGUGUGUGUGUGUGUGUGUGUGUGUGUGUGUGUGUGUGUGUGUUGGUUCUUGUGAAAUGAAGUGACUUUCUGAUAGCAGUGAGGAAGGAAGGCCCACUCACUCACUCACCCACUCACCCGCUCACUCACUCACUCACUCAUCCACUCACUCGCUCACUCACUCACUCACUCACCCACUCCACCACCAGCAGCAUUGUACUUGAAUUCAUUGCUUGUUCUAUUUUUUUUUUCAUUUCUCAGCCCCUCUCAGUGUUUGCGAUUCCCUUUUUUAAUCCCUUUUUUUCGUCGUUAAGGCUGAGGCGUGUGUCUGCCGCGGUGGUUCCUUCGCCUUUAAGGUCCCCUUGCUCCUUCCUGCCCUCCCUUCUUGCCUCCCUCCCACCUUGUUUCCUCCUCUCCUCACACGGCACCCUGCCCAUGGAUUUCUGACGCCCUGCCCUGACCUUAACGAAAUUCAGACUUUCACACUCUAGCUUCUCGCACACUCAGCCCUGUUUACUCACUCAGAUUCACACACACACACUUCUCCUGCCUUACGUAUUUCAAUCACAGAAGCAUUCACUGCCUCAAUCACACAUCCACUCACUCGUUCGCUCGUUCAAACACCCUUCUCUGUCUUCCAGAAGCUGCCUUCAGGAGAGACAGGACGAAGCUCCGAGUUACCCGCCAGGCUGAAUCAGUUUAAAGACAAGUAUUAUGGGGACACGAUACAAAAAGAUAAUCAAGUGGUAUUCAUAUGACCAAUACGCACACACACGCACACACAAACACAUGAAUACACACACACACACACACACACACACACACACACACACACACACAACACAGAAAGCCAGGACAGCUCUCACUAUGGUCCGUGCACUAUGACGAAGCUAAACUAACACGCUACUCCACUAUGGGCUAAGCCACUAGCACAGCCACUCGGGCUUGGAACACACAGCUCACGGGACACAGCGCAUCUCCGCCCCGCAUUGAACUCUCGCAGCAAUGAUCAACUCAGGCGCUAUAGGACGUUGAGGCAGACUAUAGUUUUGGCUCACUCUCACCCCCUUCACAGCCCCGGCGUGCAUAUGGCGGGUGUUUGGCGGCUGGUCGCAGGGGGUGAAGCGUACUGGCUCAUCGUGGGGAAGCGUGUUCUCGUUACCAUCAUAACACUCAAGGCAAGAUCACAACACCUCGUAAGGGUCACAUUGGGUACAGCACGCUACGCUAAGAGGCACAUACAGGAGGUCGUCUAGCACAUAAUGGGAAGGUCUCUGUGGCACGUUCAGUACGGUGGGAAGCAAAUGCAGCACGUCUUUAGUAGCGGAUACACGGCGGGUUCUGUAGCAGGUAGAACACGUUGUUUGUUUGUUUUUAUGGUAGCAACGUUAUGGUGUGGCAUAGACAACAGCAUAUAGUGGAGCAUACACAACAGCAUGAUACAUAGCAUGGUCAGUACUCGCGGGAGCAUGUACGUACAGAUCGCUUUUUUUUUUCGUUGCAAACAUAACAUAGAAGAUAAUAAAGACGGGUAUGCUUUGAACAACAUUCAUCAUGGAUCGGGCGGCAUUCCCUCAUUCAUCACCCACCAUUUAUUUUAUAUUAGGACAUUCAUCACAUGCUCACCACCACCAACACCGAUAACACCAUCAUUAAAAGUUAUAGUUCAACCGCCUUCAUGGAACACUCGCACAGCUGUCACUGUACCACCAAAACCACCACCCACACCACCAGACCCUCCUUCCUUCCCUCAGACGCACCACCACCGCUCACCACAGCAUCAAACAGCAUCAACUUUCACGCCACAGCACGAUGCAGUAACAUUUCACUGUCCACGGAACAAAAGGGGAAAAGGAAACAUUACCAUCUACACAGACAGACGAAUGCAACAGCAACACUACAGCAACAUGACAUCAUUCACCACGCUUGAAUCAUAAAAGAACACUCGUCACCGCAAUCAUAGCACACCCCACAUCACAUAAUCCGCCGUCACUGCAAUAACAUCACAGCAAACACACCACGGCCACUAUUCCCUCGGAGAAGUAUCAGCACAACAUUCGCAACACACCCGCAACACAGCAGAACGACACGCAUUCCCGACUACCUCCAGACAACAGUGCAACACAACAUCCACCACGCUUAGAACAAACAUCGUACUUACAACACAAUCCAAGGUACACCAUCCAUUACUCGCGGCAUAUUUCACUUCAAUCGCUGUCCAUGAAUGCGCAUAACACACACACACACACACACACACACACACACACACAAACACACAUGGUGGUAUCAAAGCUUAUCUGGCUGAAGGUAAUCCUCCAUUGGAUGCAAUCUCUGGCGGAGCUUCUGCGCAUUUGCAUGUACACAUAGGUGUGUGUGUGUGUAUGUGUGUGUGUGUGUGUGUGUGUGUGUGUGUGUGUGUGUGUGUGUGUGUGUGUGUGUGUGUGUGUGUUUCAGUAUACGAUAUAUUUUUUUAUUUAUUAGCGGCAACUGGCUUAACUCUAUGGACUUUGUCAGCACAUUUUUAUUUAAUGAAAAAGUGUUUCUAGAUUGUAUUACACGUAACGACUUAAUAUUCGCAUCAUCAGCAUCAGCAUCAAUGUAUUUAACACCACCAUAUUCUUACAUAACUGUCAUUGUGUCUUUUUCAGACGGACCGUCAAGAUUUCGCAGCGUGAUGGGUAUAUAAAGUUGACGCACCUGAGAAAGCGCUUAACAAAGGCCACCGUGUCAACCUUGCUGCCUGGGAACUCCACUACUUAAUCGCCUUACCUGCGCACAUGCCACUCAGGUCGAUGCUCAUUUGUUUUCGGGGAGGGAGGCGACUCGAUAAUCCUCCCCUCCAAAACACGGCAAGGUUUCGACGUCUAUUGAUUCGAUGUCAGCGUGGCGGGUUGGUGGAGCUGGCGGCGAGGCAACACGAGUCGAGGGACGAGUGUGAGGCAGCGAGGGUCGAACCAUGGCCGUGUGUGAGGUGCUGGAGAGGAGCCGGGCCAUUCUGAAGGCACUGGAGGAGGGAAGGAAAGAAGAGGAGGGCAAGCAGAGGCACAGUGAAAAUGAGGACGAGGAGAGACGAGAGCCACCUGAGAACAAAGACGAGAAGAACAGCGGCCGAGGAGACAACGAAAAGAGAACAGGACUCGAGAAAGGAGUGGAGGUGAGUGGAUGUACGGAUGUGACGCAGCGGGACAGUAAUGGAGGAGGAGGAAGAAGAGGACCAGUGGAGGAAGGUAAUGAAAACGAAGAAGAAGAGGAAGAGGAAGGAAAUCGACCAAGAGCCACGUCGAAUGUAUCUUUCACGAGGCCGGUUUGUCAGUACUUGGAAGAGGCCAGGGAGUUUUUCCCUCUCUUCCGCUCCUACUCCCCCCACUCCUCCUCCUACUCCUCUUCCCCCUCCGGUUCCUCUCCCUCCGUCUCCCUCUCUUCUUCCAUCACUCUCUCUUCCUCCUCUUCCUGCCGGGAUGUCAACAAACCAAGUGGAGGAACUGAACCCUCUUACCCAUCCAGCUUGGAGAGGACUCAAAGAGAAGGAGGAGGAGGAGGAGGAGGAGGGGGGGGAGGAGGAGGAGGAACACACAAUCAGAACACUGGAAAAACAAAUAAAGAACUUACGGAAUGUCUUGAAAACUCUAAAAGCACAGGAGGAAGCCCGGAUCCAGACCGACAGGAGGAAGACGCAAGGAAGGGAGAGGGAACGAAAAAUGGGAAGAGAGGAGAAAACGGAGGCAAUCAAGGCAAUGGUGCUUCGCCUCGUCUGGGGUCCCGGCGGCAUCGAGUGUGCGAGUACCUGGACGCUGCCUCGAGAAAGCCCGGCGCUGCUCCCGUCUGUGACUUCUUGGCCGCCCUUAACCUUGGUCCUCAACCCGGAGACUCUGACCCAAGUGUGGAUCCGUCGGUUGCAGCACACGAAAGAGACAAUCCAGCAAGCACUUCACCUCGUCUAGCUGAGUACCCCCUUAAGCCCAACAGCGGUGACCCUGAGCCACGUAAUUCUAGCUCUCCUGAUCCAAAAAAUAGUGUACUGGAUCCGAUCACUCAAUUAUCAAGCCCAAAAAGUAAUGACACGGGAAUGUUGAAUUAUCCAUCGUGUCCAAAACAUUGUCCAUUUGCUUCAACUGAUCAUGUUUCCGAUGCUCCCAGUCGCAUCUCACCUGAGGCACCUGUGUCUUCACCUGGUCAAAUUACCAUUCCGCUCAUUCCACUUAAAGACCUUCUUGACCCCAGACUCACUCCACCGAGGCAAUCUACUGAUCCAUCUGGCCUUAGACUUUCUCCACUUGGUACUGUUAAGUUUCCACGUACCUCACCGAGAGACCCAACAGCCUCAACCUCAAGUCAUGAUGGUAAAGAUAUAAGGACGGACAAUCAUCAGCACUCACCUGUCAGUUCUUUUAGUACAGGUGUGUCUAAGCGAACCAGCUCUGGCCUAAAAUGUAGUUACCUUCGACAAAGCCCUACCACCACGACCACCACCACCACCGCUGUUAAUACCUCUCUCACCACCACCACCACCACAACUUCCCCGACUGUACUUACGUGUCAGUACCUCCACCGCAGUCCACCAGAGACCCCCAGCACUACCGGCACCACCAGCACCACACCCACCACCCAUAAAUGCCCAUACCUUCAAAACUCACGCGUCACUACUGCGGUCUCAACACCCACAGCCACCGACGUUACCAAUACCACUGUCAACACCACCAGUACUUGUGCAGCCACCAAUACCACCAUCAUCUCCACCACCACCUCAUCAUCAACCAAGUGCUCGUAUCUCCAUAAGGCACAAACUGUUUCCACCACCAAUGCUAGCGUCAGUAUUACCAACGUCACCACCAAAAGUACUCCUCAGUGUCCGUACCUCCAGGCCCUCUCACGCCCUUCCACCUCCACCACCAGCAGCACCAAUGCCAACACCCCCACAGCUACCAACUCCAUUACAAGCAACACCAACAACAAUAAAAACGCCGUAUGCGAGUAUCUCCAGCGCAACGCAACCACAACCAGCAGCAGUAACACAGUGAUUUGUCAAUAUCUUCACAACAACCAGAGUCCCGGCAACACCACCACCACUAACACCACCAACACCACCCACACCAUAACCAACGGCUCCACCGGCAGCGCCAAUAACAUUAGCAACAGCAGAACCAACAACAGAAACAAGAACAACCACAGCACCACCAAACACGAAGUCAUCAGAAACGACCGUCAGAAGAAGAAAUCGAGGCAAGAGAAUAGCAGAAGUAGCCAUUUAGAGGGAAACGGAUACAAACAGGAACGCGUCAUAACCCCGCCAGGCCGCGACACCAGAAGCUCGGAAGCCGUCACAAUCCCACAGACAAACCUGAAGGCCUUGCAUGGGUCUACGGUCGUCAGCGAGCUGGGGGCGCCAAGGACUAACGGACGUGUUGGACAAUUGUUCGAGAAGUCCAACAUAUCCGGCGAGCCAGCUGACGAAGGUAGAGUCAAUAUUUUGCCAUUAGAGGCGAGGGGAGGAGGGCGCUCUGCAAACACUGGACAUCUGGAGGAGUCUCCCAUCGAAUCCUCCGUUGCCCACACAACACGUCCCGAGGCCGCCAAGGACUGGAGCCACAAAUGUGAUUACCUCAAGCAUGCUGCUACAUCUUCUAUUACUACUAAUAAUAAUAAUACUAUUACUACUAAUACUACCAGUAGAAAUGAUUCUAUGCAGAUAACUCCUGUAUCAACCAGCAAACAAAACUGCGAAAUCCCUGACAGAAUCGCCUUGGAAAUCAGUCCCACAGGAACUUCCUUCCCAUGUCCACCCCCUUUUCCCUUCUCGACCGUCAGUCCCCGCCGUGAGCCGGCCGGUUCUAGCGGCCACAAUUCAUCACAGACAAGUCAGAUUUCUGGUUUCAUCUCCAAGGACGGCAGCACCACAAGGACCUUCCUGAAAAACACCGGGGAACAAGGGAACGCGCCAAACGUGAUUGAUGAUCGAGGGAGCGGCCGCGGCAUCACUUGCCACUACCUCCGCCAAGCCUCUGGCGCCGCGGCUAAAACAUGCCGCCUCACCUGUGAAUUUCUUGAGAAAAAUCAUGGAUGUAUCGACAAGCUCAAUGGAACUACGAAAGGGAAAGAGGAGAUGGUGCGAGGGAAAGCAGAGAGAGGAGAGCAGAGGCCGCCGAGAAAGAAUCAGGUGUAUAUAGACGAUAAUAAGGCGCCAAACUAUACCGGAAAAACUUUUGGCGAUGAAGCUAAAAUAGUGAGUCAAUCUCAGCAGAAUUUUUACCAAUCUCGUCUCUCGUAUCAAGACCUGAGUGCCCCUGUCUUGACACACUUAAAUGGAAGCCCAAGCUCUCCCCAAGCUAUCAGUGGCCGUAAGGGAGAGGCAGCAUCGGUCCCUUUCUCCGCCGCGAGGGGGGACACGCCCCAACCAUCGACGCGUGCAUCCAUCAAGCCGGCCGACAGGGGGCCCCGAGCUGACCCAGGGUCCGUGCAUGCGCCGCCCUGUGACGGGACUUUCCGCGCCACACGCUGCCGCACGUACUCCCCGACAUUAUUUCACCCUAAGUUUUCUAUUCACCGGCUCGCUGUGAGAGAGAGGGACGAGGGAAAUUUCUCUCCGUCGCCUCCCCUCACGAGCUGGGAAGUAUUAAAAAUGAGUCUUGGCCCGUGUCCUGUCCGUGACGCGGGGAGGAGCGACGAAGAGGAGGAGGAUGGGAAGGAAGAGGAGGAGCUCUCCGACACGUCUGGGAGCGCCGCCUUGGAGGAGUACGACCCUCGCCUGAGUCUCACGCGGUCCGUGUCGCCCACUCCUUCAGAUGACACGAGAACUAAUGACCUGGAGCUGCCGUCACCUGAGGGAAGGAGCGAAGUUGGCGCCGCGCCAGCAAAAAAUAAAGAAAAAACUUGCAACAUAAAAACGAACCAGCCUUUGACACCCGAUGGGCUGCAGACAAGCAAAGAAAGUUUUCAGAAUGAAGAAAUUUACAAAAACUUCGACCGUAACCAAGACAUUCAGACGGCAAGCAAACUGCAGAGGCCGGGAUCACAACCCAAGGGCGGCGUACGGGGGCCUCGGAAAGCUGAGCUGCCCGCGACGCAAGAGGGGAGGGACAGCGUGUCCUCGGUGACCUGCAGAAUGGAUCCGGCGGUCCCCCCCACGACGCUGUCCGGCGCCAAGACCUGCGGCUUCCUGCUGAGGGUUCAGGAGGUGCUGCGUUCCCUGCCGGGCCGCGAGGCGCCGCUCACCACAGCGGCGCCGGAGACAGUGACGGGUGGAGACAAAUAGCGGCCGAUGCGUCUCCGCGGGACCACGGCAGCUGGAGGAGAGUGGUGCACCAUCUUGUGGCGGGAAGGCAGGUGACGGAAAGAUACGGGAAGUGGCAGCGGUGCAGAGUACUUUAUCCUAUACAGGAGAGCAUCCAUCAUAAAUUGGAAGGUAGUCGAGCCCCACUCUGACGUGAAGGGUCGUGAACACAGCACUGGCGCACGGAUGACAAAGCAGGGACUCACAAGACCAGCCAUCGUCACAAGACCAUGACGUGCACGCGCCAGCCUUCCUCCCGUGGCCGGUAAUCAGGCAGCGGCAGCGAGCGGCAUGCCUCAGGGCGCCUC